UUACUACUUCAGAACUUAAUUUUAUUGUAAUACAAUACAUACAACUAAUUAACUACUAUAGGUAUUCAUUCAGGCGCGUAUACAGGGGGUUGGGGGUUCAACCCCCCCAAAAUCUACUAUGAACCCCCCAAAUUUUUUUUUGUGUACGCGCCUGUAUUCAUUUAAAUGAACUUUUUUUAUGUGAAUUAUUUCUUUUUAUAAUUUCAGACUGAAGCUUCCAGUAGUGGCAGUAGUAGUACAGAGAAAUCGCCAGAAGAAAUAACACAAAAUAAUGUAUCAGAAAUAUUGAAACUCCUAAAAACUACAAAUGAAGGGAAAUCGUUAUUGUCAACAUUUCAUCAAAGUGGUUUGUUAGAUAGUGCAGGUCGUAGGCGUUUGUGUCAUUUAAUAAUAAAUAGAGAACUCAGAGAUGAUGUCCAAAGACGUAUUUCAUCGUCACGUUUACAUAACCUUGCGUACCAAAUCACAAAAGUUUUUCAAAAUGAACGAGCAUCAACUUAUUUUAUUCCAUACAUUUCUUACGGACCGGGCUUAAAAAGAGCAGCCAAAGGAAAGCUUCUCGAUUGUUUGAAUAAUAAAAGAAGAGAAUACAGAAAAGCUGGUUUGAUAAGUUCAUCGCGACGAAGUUCAACAUCUUCUGAAUCAUCUUUUAAUUCUAUACCAUAACCGGAAGGCCUUGUACAAUUGACUGAAGAAGAAGGAAAUUAUAUAGAAUCUGUUGUGGAGGAAAAUCUCAAUUGGCUAAGAAACUCAAGUGAACCAUGGGAUUUAGUAGAAAUAAAAUGGAAUUUGACUUCCAGCUAUCGCUAAAAAGAAUGAUGUCACAAGAUGGUCCUUCAAUAGCAGAGUACAUGACUGAGUUUCCAUACUUGAAAAAACCUGCAGGAUAUCUCCUUAUGAGUGCAUGUCAUAUUAUUAAUAAUUUUUAACUUAUAUCUAAUUACUCAAUCAAUUUUUAAAAUUUUAUUAUUUAUUCUUCAGAUUUUGAAAGACUUUAACGUUGCUUAUCCAAAAUCAGUUGACAAACUUUAUCAGAACCUACCAAUAUACAGAAAGAAGAUUAUCGAUCUAACAUUGACUAGAACUAAGAAAACUAAAGAUUCCACUGUGCAUCAAAUUUUAAAUGAAUACCUACAAUACAACACUGUCGAUGAAGAAACAUCGAAUAUAGUUUGUUUUGUUUGGUCUUCCUCGUUGGAAAUUCAGUAGUUAGAGGAAAAAAGUCUACAAGUCAAUGGAAACCAUCAAAGUUAGAAGCUAGAGAUGGAUUUAUCACCAAAGUAUCAAGUGACGCAGAAGUCCAGAAAACCAUUGGAAGAAGGAGAGAAAAGUUUGACAAUAUAUUUCUUUCAGUGUACCUACUAUGAAUUUGUUCAA